AUCCGGAAUCAUUGGGCGUAAAGCGCCUGUAGGUUGUUUAAUAAGUCUGUUGUUAAAGACUAGGGCUCAACCCUAGAAAAGCAAUGGAUACUACUAGACUAGAGUAUGGCAGGGGUAGAGGGAAUUUCUAGUGUAGCGGUGAAAUGCGUAGAUAUUAGAAAGAACACCGGUGGCGAAAGCGCUCUACUGAACCAUUACUGACACUCAGAGGCGAAAGCUAGGGUAGCAAAAGGGAUUAGAUACCCCUGUAGUCCUAGCCGUAAACGAUGGAUACUAGAUGUUGUGCUUCCGUACAGUAUCGUAGCUAACGCGUUAAGUAUCCCGCCUGGGGAGUACGCUCGCAAGGGUGAAACUCAAAGGAAUUGACGGGGGCCCGCACAAGCGGUGGAGCAUGUGGUUUAAUUCGAUGCAACGCGAAGAACUUUACCAGGGCUUGACAUACUACAGAUUUUUUUGAGAAAGAAGAGUGCCUUCGGGAAUGUAGAUACAGGUGGUGCAUGGCUGUCGUCAGCUCGUGUCGUGAGAUGUUGGGUUAAGUCUCGCAACGAGCGCAACUUUCGUUUUUAGUUGCUAAUUUAUUGGGAUCUCUAGAAAGACUGCCGGUGACAAACCGGAGGAAGGUGAGGAUGACGUCCAGU
rnacentral:rRNA from 1 species